rnacentral:rRNA from 1 species
AAUUACCCAAUCCUGACACAGGGAGGUAGUGACAAGAAAUAACAAUACAGGGCUUAAAGUCUUGUAAUUGGAAUGAUGGGAAUCUAAACCCUUCCCAGAGUAUCAAUUGGAGGGCAAGUCUGGUGCCAGCAGCCGCGGUAAUUCCAGCUCCAAUAGCGUAUAUUAAAGUUGUUGCAGUUAAGAAGCUCGUAGUUGAAUUUCUGCCUUGCCAUUAAUCUCGCUUCCGAGCGUUUUUUUAUUGACUUGGCAUCUUCUGGAUUUGGUGCCUUCGGGUACUAUUUUCCAGGAUUUACUUUGAGAAAACUAGAGUGUUUCAAACAGGCAUUCGCCUUGAAUACUACAGCAUGGAAUAAUGAAGUAGGACUUUGGUUCUAUUUUGUUGGUUAUUGAGCCAGAGUAAUGGUUAAUAGGAGCAGUUGGGGGCAUUCGUAUUUAA